CCGGUUGGCUACGUUCGGGAGGGAUAACCGCUGAAAGCAUCUAAGCGGGAAGCCUGCUCCGAGAUAAGCAUUCCGUGGAUCCUUCGAGAUCCUAUACCCCCCAUGGAGAACACGUGGUGGAUAGGCCGGACGUGGAAGCCCCGCAAGGGGUGGAGCUGACCGGUACUAACGGGGGAACGGCAACACACACCCCAACCC
rnacentral:rRNA from 1 species